UACGUAGGGGGGCGAGCGUUGUCCGAAGUUACUGGGCGUAAAAGCGCGCGUAGGCGGUUUCUUAAGUCUGGUGUGAAAGGUUCAGGGCUCAACCCGAACAGUGCACUGGAUACUGGGAGACUUGAGUAUGGGGAGAGGAGAGCGGAAUUCCUGGUGUAGCGGUGAAAUGCGUAGAUAUCAGGAGGAACACCGAUGGCGAAGGCAGCUCUCUGGCCUGUAACUGACGCUGGAGGU
rnacentral:rRNA from 1 species